rnacentral:rRNA from 1 species
AUUGAACGCUGGCGGCAGGCCUAACACAUGCAAGUCGAGCGGAUGAAGGGUGCUUGCUCCUGGAUUCAGCGGCGGACGGGUGUGUAAUGCCUAGGAAUCUGCCUGGUAGUGGGGGAUAACGUCCGGAAACGGGCGCUAAUACCGCAUACGUCCUGAGGGAGAAAGUGGGGGAGCUUCGGACCUCACGCUCUCAGAUGAGCCUAGGUCGGAUUAGCUAGUUGGUGGGGUAAAGGCCUACCAAGGCGACGAUCCGUAACUGGACUGAGAGGAUGAUCAGUCACACUGGAGCUGAGACACGGUCCAUGCGCCUACGGGAGGCAGCAGUGGGGAAUAUUGGACAAUGGGCGAAAGCCUGGUCCAGCCAUGCCGCGUGUGUGAAGAAGGUCUUCGGAUUGUAAAGCACUUUAAGGUGGGAGGAAGGGCAGUAAGUUAAUACGUUGCUGUUUUGACGGUACCAACAGAAUAAGCACCGGCUAACUUCGUG